AAUAUUGGACAAUGGGGGCAACCCUGAUCCAGCCAUGCCGCGUGUGUGAAGAAGGUCUUCUGAUUGUAAAGCACUUUAAGUUGGGAGGAAGGGCUUUAGGUUAAUACACUGAAGUUAUGACGUUACCAACAGAAGAAGCAACGGCGAACUCUGUGUCAGCAGCCGCGGUAAUACAGAGGGUGCAAGCGUUAAUCGGAAUUACUGGGCGUAAAGCGCGCGUAGGUGGUUCAGUAAGAUGGGUGUGAAAUCCCCGGGCUCAACCUGGGAACUGCUUUCAUAACUGAUGAGCUAGAGUACGGUAGAGGGUAGUGAAAUUUCCUGUGUAGCGGUGAAAUGCGUAGAUAUAGGAAGGAACACCAGUGGCGAAGGCGACUACCUGGACUGAUACUGACACUGAGGUGCGAAAGCGUGGGGAGCAAAC
rnacentral:rRNA from 1 species